UCCCGUUGAUCCUGCGGGAGGCUGCUGCUAUUGGGAUUCGAUUUAGCCAUGCAAGUCUGGUUGCAAUACCGGCAGAAUGCUCAGUAACACGUCGAUAAUCUGCCCUUAGGUUGAGGAUAAACUCGGGAAACUGAGUGUAAUACUCGAUAUGGGAUGUAUGCUGGAAGGCAGCAUCCUUGAAAGGCAACGCCUAAGGAUGAGUCGGCGGCCGAUUAGGCUGUUGGUGGGGUAAUGGCCCACCAAACCUCAGAUCGGUACGGGCCCUGAGAGGGGUAGCCCGGAGAAGGACACUGAGAUACUGGUCCUAGCCCUACGGGGUGCAGCAGGCGCGAAACCUUUACAAUGCACGAAAGUGUGAUAAGGGAAUCCCAAGUGCUCAUGCAAUGCAUGGGCUUUUGUUAAUGUUAAAACCAUUGGCGAAUAAGUGGUGGGUAAGACUGGUGCCAGCCGCCGCGGUAACACCAGCGCCACAAGUGGGGGCCGCUUUUAUUGGGCCUAAAGCGUCCGUAGCUGGUUCGGUAAAUCUUCUGUGAAAUUGACAGGCUUAACCUGUCAGCGUGCAGGGGACACUGCCGAACUCGAGACCGGGAGGGGUCAGAAGUAUUCCUGGGGGAGCGGUAAAAUGCUAUAAUCCCGGGAAGACUACCUGUGGCGAAGGCGUCUGACUAGAACGGUUCUGACAGUGAGGGACGAAAGCCAGGGGAGCGAACCGGAUUAGAUACCCGAGUAGUCCUGGCCGUAAACGCUGUGAGCUAGGUGUUGUACAUUCUCAAAGAAUGUGCAGUGUCGAAGCGAAGGUGUUAAGCUCACCGCCUGGGAAGUAUAGUCGCAAGACCGAAACUUAAAGGAAUUGGCGGGGGAGCACUACAAGGGGUACGGCGUGCGGUUUAAUCUAAUUCAACGCAGAGAACCUCACCAGAAGCGACGGCAGGAUGAAGGUCAGUCUGAAGGGCUUACCUAACGAGCCGAGAGGUAGUGCAUGGCCGUCGUCAGCUCGUGCUGUGAAGUGUCCUGUUAAGUCAGGCAACGAGCGAGACCUGUGCCCACAAUUGCCAACGGACGCUUCGCGUGACCGUGCACAUUGUGGGGACUGCCCUGGAAACAGGGAGGAAGGUGCAGGCUACGGUAGGUCUGUAUGCUCCGAAUCUUCUGGGCAACACGCGCGCAACAAUGGUAGGGACAAUGGGACGCAACUCCGAAAGGAGAAGCUAAACCUCUAAACCCUAUCCUAGUGCAGAUCGAGGGCUGCAACUCGCCCUCGUGACGUUGGAAUCCCUAGUAAUCGGAGUUCAACAUACUCCGAUGAAUAUGUCCCUGCUCCUUGCACACACCGCCCGUCAAACCACUCGAGCAGGGUUUAGGUGAGCAUCCGUCCUCGUGAUGUAUGCGAAUCUAAGCUCAGUGAGAUGGGUUAAGUCGUCACAAGGUA
rnacentral:rRNA from 1 species